AAAAAUCUAGUGAUGUUUUCUUUUAAAAAUUCGGGAGAAAAUCUGUCGUUGCUAUUCUUUAGAUGGCGCACUAGAUAAAUCCGUUCAUUUUGAAGAGCUCGCAAAUUAUACAGGAAGAACUAAGCUGCAGGUAAGUCAUGUACGACGAGUUUGACAGAGAAGAUGUUGGCAGAAAAAAUCGAUCUUAGUUUAUUGAUAUUGUGUACAAUUUUUUAAGAUGAAAAAUGAAGUUUGGC
rnacentral:lncRNA from 1 species